UACGUAGGGGGCGAGCGUUGUCCGGAGUUACUGGGCGUAAAGGGCACGCAGGCGGUUGUGUCAGUUUGCGGGGACAGUGGGUGGCUUAACUGCCCAAGGGUCGCAAAGACGGCACGACUGGAGAGCGAGAGAGGGACCUGGAACUCCGGGUGGAGCGGUGAAAUGCGUAGAGAUCCGGAAGAACACCGGUGGCGAAGGCGGCCUGCUGGGCAGUUGCUGACACUGAGGCGCGACAGCGUGGGGAGCAAACAGG
rnacentral:rRNA from 1 species